CUGGGACUGGAGGGCGUGGUUCUGCCGUGAUUGGAAAGGAACGUGAUUAGGAUUCCAGGCGGCUGCGGAAGGCGGGCCUCCUCUAACCAGUUGCAGGCCGAGGAGAAGAAAAGACGGGGAAUUCUGAAGCAGAGGCCUCACCGGCCCCCCUGUUCUCCGCCGGCCGGCCCACCCUGCAGGUUUUGGACUUGCCAGCCUCCUCCACCAGGAGUGUCCUGCCCAGUUCCAUGGUGUCCACAGGGACAAAGACCCCGCAGAGCCGAGGGCUUGCUUCUGGGUUUUCAUCCGUGCCCACCUCCGCUCAGCCAAGGUAAGCAAACACAC